rnacentral:rRNA from 1 species
AGUGAACGCUGGCGGCGUGCCUAAUACAUGCAAGUCGAACGACGUGGCGCACAGGUGAGUGAUAUAUCGUUAAUCUGCCCUACACGGAGGGACAACAGACGGAAACGGCUGCUAAAACCCCAUAGUGUAGGAGGAGACUAUAUCGUAUCAGCUAGUUGGUAAGGUAAUGGCUUACCAAGGCUAUGACGCGUAACUGGUCUAAGAGGAUGAGCAGUAAAAUCGGAAGUGAGGCACGGUUGAAACUCAUACGGGAAGGAGCAGUAAGGAAUAUUGCGCAAUGGGGGUAUCUGUGACGCAGCAACGCGGCGUGGAGGAUGAUAAGUGUCGGAGAGUAAGGUGCUUUUAAUAGGAAAGCGGUACCUGAUGAAUAAGCACCGGCUAACUCCGUGCCAGCAGCCGCGGUAAUAC